rnacentral:ncRNA from 1 species
CCAAGUCCCGUCGCACUCCCCCCGGCGCCGGGACUUUCCCCGAGGCCGGGCUUCGGCGUCCUUCCCCCCGGACGUCGGGGCCCGGCUCUCUU